AGGGGUGUAGCUCAGUUGGUAGAGCAGCGGUCUCCAAAACCGCAGGUCGCGGGUUCGAACCCUGCCGCCCCUG
rnacentral:tRNA from 1 species